rnacentral:rRNA from 1 species
ACGCUCGACACCUACGGGAGGUAGCAGUGGGGAAUAUUGCACAAUGGGGGAAACCCUGAUGCAGCAACGCCGCGUGAAGGAAGACGGUUUUCGGAUUGUAAACUUCUGUUCUUAGUGAAGAUAGUGACGGUAGCUAAGGAGCAAGCCACGGCUAACUACGUGGCAGCAGCCGCGGUAAUCUGAGCGGGCUGGCAAGGC